CCUUUCCCAGAGGUCUUCGCGGUCUCGCGAGAUCAGGCUGGCCGCGGCUGGGGGCUGGCCGCGGGGCCGCGCUUUGUCGGUUUGAGCGACGGGGAGGGGGAAGAUGGCGGUUGACUCCCUUCCCCCGCCGCUCUGGCUUCGGGGCGUUCCCACCGAGUUCCCCUCGUGGCGGGCGCGCGGCCUCCCCAGGGGGUUCCUAGCUGCCCUUUCGGUCCCCUGGGGACGCCCGUCGUCGGUCCUCGAGGCGGAAGUUGUUCCUCCUCCCUGCUCCUUUAGGCCUGGGCAGACGGUGAUGAUUGGGGGGGGGCCUGGCUCUUUCACCCCGAGUGCUGUCUUUUAAGGUCCGAUGCCGGGGUCCAUGUACCCGCGGCGACGGUGACUCGCCAAGACACCAUUACAGGGUCGUGCGGCCCGUAGCCCGCCUUUCUCGCUCACUCCACGGCUCCCCUCCCCGGCACCAAGCCUGCCGGGGCUAGGCACGCCCGCACACCCGUUUUCUAAAGAGGGAAACACCAAAUUAGUUCGUGACUCCGAGACCCUCCGGAAAGUGCGUCUCGGAGAGGUCUCCGUGUUCUCGUGCUCCACUAUAACUUUGCUCAAAACGAGUAUCACAUUGGGUUACCACUCCUGGAAUCCACUCCACAGUUUAUAAAUUGACUUCCUUGCUAGGCAAAGCAUAGCCCAAAGCAGGUGUUCCUAAUGAGGUUCCAGAGCGGUCCCUCUGGAAUGGCUAUUUAGAGCCUCUCAUGUUUUCCUCCUUUUGAAGUGAUUACAGAAACUCUCCCAUUCUUUCAAAAACUUAAAUUGUGCUUAAAAGUUUCAGUUGCUACUGUAAAAGCGAUCGAGUCCAUCCUGAAAUUUGCAAACAUAGUUGUUGUUAGCCAAGAGCCAAAUAAUAGAGCCAGGGGCUCUAAUCUGCUUUCUGUGGUCUUCCCCAUUUGAAUAAAGUAGCAAUGUUGUUGAGGACAUGGUGAGGUGGAUAAGGGUCUGCCCUUUGUUACAGAUCUGUCAAAUAUGCAAGAAGGUUGGCACUGAAAGGUAUGUUGAUUUUUAUUAGAGUAAAUCAUGAUUUACAAGCUUCAUAAACCAUUACAAAAUUUUUUUAACAUGUAUUUAAUUUUGAGAGAGGGAGAGAGAGGAUCCGAAGCAGGCUCUGCACUGACAGUAGAGAGCCCAGUGUGGGGCUCGAACUCACCAACCGUGAGAUCGUGACCUGAGCCGAAGGCAGACGCUUAACUGACUGAGGCUUUAAAAUUGACAAUGUGGGUGAGGAGGUUAAUAAAUCAAAGGGAAGAUCCAGAGUUGAGAGAAGUGAUCUGUGUCCUUGGUGCCAGAGCUUCUGUUAUAACCACCCAGUGUGUAUACAUGGGGGUAUGAUUGUUAAAAGAAAUGCAUAAUGCUUUAUGGGUACCAGGUUUCCCAUCAGGUAAAUGGAAAAGGUAGAUCCCAAACAAGCUGCUUCUGGUUCAACAUGAAAUAUGCCUUAGCAGCAUUGAAACAUUGGGGUUUUUGCAUAGCUGCACGCGAAUGACAUUAUUUUAGAAACUGUUGGAAAAGAUGGGCGUGAAACUAGUCUAAGAGGCCUGCCUUCUCAGAAGUAUUUUUUUUAAGUUUUUAUUUUUUUAUAUUUAGUUUUGAAAGAGAGCGUGUGACAUGAGUGGGGGAGGGGACAGAGGAUCAAGUGGGCUCUGUGCUGACAGCAGGGAGCCCGGAUGUGAGGCUCCAACUCUGUGAGAUUAUGACCUUAGGUGACCCUCAGAAGUAUUUUUUAAUAAAGCUAAAUACAAAGUGA